AUUAUAGAAUAGACACACACACAUAUAUAUAUAUGUGGUGGAGGUCCCAUAAAUAGGAGCUUUGCAUCGAUCUCUCAUUUUCACAGAUAAAGUCAUUAUUUUCUAAAGCAAACCUUGUGUGUUCUGCAUUUUUUAUCAGUAUGAUCUGCAAAAACAUACAAUAAUAUAUAUAUAUAUAUAUAUAUAUAUACAUAUGAAUAAAGCAAAACAAUUUGGUGAAAGCAUUAUAACAGGACCUUUCCAUUUGUGUUGCCUUUUUCCACUUCCUUCAUCUUCAUUUCGUUACCUUCAGAUUUAGCGAAGUAAUGGUCACCUGAUUAAAAACAGUAACAAAAUAAGGAAACUGCCUACUUGGAAAUUAAACAUUAUAACAUUUAAGCAAUUUGGUCUAUGCUAAUAAUACUAAAAAAUGAGUUAUGUUCUAAAAUAAGACAUUAAUAAAUAACCAUAACAUACUACCAUUACUUGUGAUCUUAUGGCCUAGUGGGGCCUUUCUUCUCAUUUAGUCUUUAUGCCCCAAAGUACUCUUUCUUUUAAAGCAAUAGCUUUGGCUCUUUCUUUAAUUAGAUGCAAUAAUCUCAUGGGAUCUUUCCUCUGCUGCAAUCUCUUGGCCCAGGACACUUUUAUUUUGAGGCAGUUUUAUGGGGUCUGAUAGAGUCCCUUGGGCCCUAUGAUGGAAGUUUAGUAAAAAGUGCAAGCAUAGGAAAGGGUUUGCAUACCUGGGUUCUCGGCUCCAGCAGUCUCGCCGGCGGCGUGCUUCUCGGCGUGGGGUGCUGGUUGCUCACGGUUCCAGCAGGUGGUUCCGUGCUCUCGGCGUGCUUCGGUGGUUUCUAGGAGCUUGGAUGUUAUUUUUAUUAUAUCCCAAUUGGCAUUAUUGUUGUUUUCUCGAUCCUCUCAAUGCACCAUUAGAUAACAGGACAUCUAUCAAGGAGACCAUCCAUGAUGCAUUUGAGAUGUAUUUCACAGAAAGAAUAAAAGCACGUCAAAAGAUCAACAAACGCACAUCGGGAGUAAUGUAUUUUCAA